rnacentral:rRNA from 1 species
CCUACGGGUGGGCAGCAGUAGGGAAUUUUCGGCAAUGGGGGGAACCCUGACCGAGCAACGCCGCGUGAAGGAAGAAGUAAUUCGUUAUGUAAAGCUCUAUCAGCAGGGAAGAAAAUGACGGUACCUGAGUAAUAAGCCCCGGCUAACUACGUGCCAGCAGCCGCGGUAAUACGGAGGGGGCAAGCGUUGUCCGGAUUUACUGGGUGUAAAGGGAGCGUAGACGGCAGUGCAAGUCUGGAGUGAAAGGCGGGGGCUCAACCCCCGGACUGCUCUGGAUACUGUACGGCUGGAGUGCAGGAGAGGUAAGUAGAAUUCCUAGUGUAGUGGUGAAAUGCGUAGAUAUUAGGAGGAACACCAGUGGCGAAGGCGGCUUACUGGACUGUAACUGACGUUGAGGCUCGAAAGCGUGGGGAGCAAACAGGAUUAGAUACCCCAGUAGUC